rnacentral:rRNA from 1 species
UACGGGGGGGGCAAGCGUUGUUCGGAAUUACUGGGCGUAAAGGGCUCGUAGGCGGCCAACUAAGUCAGACGUGAAAUCCCUCGGCUUAACUGGGGAACUGCGUCUGAUACUGGCGGACUUGAGGACAGGAGAGGAACGCGGAAUUCCAGGUGUAGCGGUGAAAUGCGUAGAUAUCUGGAGGAACACCGGUGGCGAAGGCGGCGUUCUGGACUGUUUCUGACACUGAAAAACGAAAGCCAGGGGAGCAAACGGG